UUUCAGCUUCAGUUUGUCGCUGAAAUCCUAUACAGUAAGGCUUUAGUUUCAAUAGCUCUCCAAUGAUUAAUCAUUUUCUAUAGUUUCAUGCAGACUCAUUAGUAUAUUCUAACUUACUUUCUCUACUUUGUUUAAAAACCCCAGACUGAUUAGCUCUGUGCAGCCAGAUUUUCCCCAAAGAAUUGGAAGUCUUGGUUAUAAUCAACAAGGGAAUAAAACAAAGGAGAACAAGAGAGACAAAAAAAUUAUUCUAGAAACCUUUCCAUAGAGGUAAGUGCUGCCCUCUCACUUGUAGGGUUAUUAUUUAAAAGUCUUACAAGUAAUUUUAAAUGCUCUUUUAGAGGCAGAAUACAGUGCUAUUCAUCUUCACCAGGAAGGAAUAGAAAUGGGUGAGGGAAUUCUCUUUUAGAUAUGAUGAAUUUAGUUUAAAACUGAACAGUCACGUAAGAUCUCUGGCAUUGCUGGGGUGUUAGUUUGGACAGAUGACAGGAUGAUGGAUAAGGUUUUGAUUCAACAGCACAGAACAGGUUUUUUUAAGCGUGUUGCAAAUAAAACCAAUCAAAGAUGACUCAUGCUGGGAAAAAAGAAAGCAAACAGGACAUAUAGCUGCAAAAAACCCUCACAGAAAGCAGGAUGGCUUCAAAGAACAGCUUCCUGAAAAGGAGUCUAAAAGAGAGAAAGAGGAAGAAAAAGAAGGAAUCAGCUGUUGUGACAACUGCAAAGUCAUCCAGGCUUUGAAGAAAGAAUUCAUCCUGAGGUUUGCCUAGGAAAUUAAUAUCUUUUCAUUAAAGUAAAGGAAAUACAAAUUGGACAUUUCUAUCAGAGUUCCAGAAGAGAAGUCCUAGACAACUUUUGGAUAUACACUGGCCAUGAGCUGAAGAUGAAGAGAAGAGGGAGGUGGAGAAGCUGUGAGAAAUAACUCAGCACACAUCCGUGGGGCCCUGCACAUUCCACUUGGUCUGUCUUUUCUUGGUGUUCACGUGCCUUCUCCAAUCAGCAAGACUGUCAGAACAGAAACGCAGACGGGCCGGGCGCGGAAGGUGGGUAACCCGAGGAGCACCAGUGUGAUGGGAGAGAUAAUGAGUAACUCCACAAGUUAUUGGCUCAUUAACAAUGCCCUACAGGAAGGAAUUUUCUGCCUAAUAAUAGAAGGAGCACAAGCACAGAUUCCCAGUAUGAUCUGCAGCCUGUUUAAUCCCACUGCUUUGGGAGUAGAGCUCUUGAUUCCUCCCUUUCUCUGGCACUUACAUAAUUUGGGCACUGAAGUGCUAACUCUAUUAUAUGGUUCAACAUGAAAAUGGAGAGUUUUUUCAAGCUUCGUUAAUGUACUGUUGCAAAAAUUGGCCUCAACUGAAGCUCAGUCAUUUUCCAAGACUCACAAUCCUCAGCAGAAGUUGUUGCUGAAAAUAAUAAGAUACGUUUUUGAAAAGCAAAAACGACUACAAAAUAUCGCAUAUGAUUCAAAAUGGAGAACUCAGAAUAGAUAAAAACUCUGCCAUAUAAUUCAUCUGAAAAAUAUUCCUUUUGGGCCACUAUGCUAAAUUUAAUCCUAGCCACAGUUGCUAUGCCAAAAAUGGUCUAAGAAAACAGUCCAUAUUUUGGCCAAUCUGGUCAGUACCACCUUCAUAAUGUCUAUCUCAAAAUACUGACCUAAAUUUAGAAGUAUAAAGUUACUGUGAGAACAAUGCUUUUGCAUCCUAAAAAAUUCUGAUUGCAUCUGUUUUCAUGGAGAACAAAGGAAACUGCAUUUUCCAAACCAAAGGUAUUGCAAAUCUCCAUCUUAUAAAGAACCCUAGGAAAAGAAAUCAUCUGCAGUUUCAAACCAAAUGUUCUCUGAUUACUGAACCCAAACAAAUGUUUCUGUCUCAAAAACAAGUUUGUACUUCAGGUUUCUCUAAAUAUACAUGCCAAGUAUUUUUAUUUGGGUACAAAUAAUAUUUUAAAUAAGAGGGGGGGAAAAAAGGAAUCAAAAAGUAGUUUUUAGUUUCCAGUGAUUGUGAGAAAACAGAUUAUACGUAUUCUACACAAUUCAAGGCACAUGUAUUCAUUAUUCAUUUUUAUUCUGAAGGUGCUAUUUUUGAUAACUUAUCUUGUUUUUCAUACAUGUUGCACUCUCUAGCAGUGAAAUAAUUGCACUGUCAAUAGCAGAGAUAACUCCCUGAAAGAAUGAUGCUGUAAUGGGAAUAAUGACAUAAUGUUUCAUGUAUCUUAACUGAUUCUAAUUAGCAAAACAUUUACAACAUGCCAGCAAAAGAGAAUUGAUACACAGAACUGAAAGCCUUAUUACCUGAUGCAAUGGACAUUUUGAGAAGUGAAUAUAAGUAGACAAUAUUAUCACAGUGCCGUAUACAUUAUUCAACUCAACUAAGUUUCCCAAACAACCAGCCUUAACCAAGUAAAAUUCUGGUUUAGAAAUAAAAUGAGACAAGAAGGUCCUACUUACUCAACAGAAGUUUAAUGUGAAUGCACAGAGCGACAGGCAACUUGUAAUUCCUUCAUUUUUUACUUCUCUAUAGCCUUGUAUUCCUUCCAUGCUUUACAGAUCCUAAACAGGGAGGUCAGAGCAAGCAGGGUAGAACUAAUGAAGCCUCUACCUGGAUAUGCUGGUUUUGUUGGCAUAGUCCAGACUCUUAACCCUUGGCAGCCCAACUGGAUGCUAAAAUGCCACAUUGAAAGUUUUAAAGAAAGCAUUUGUAGAUAAUUUAGACUGCUUGUACCAGAUUUGGGUUAAAAUGCAAAAAAACCCCAAAAAAAACCCAACAAAAACAAUGCAUUUUAGCUGCGGGACAGAGUUUGAGACUCUGCAGCUUUAGAACCAAACAGAUUUGCAAUGACAAUGACAGGGGAGCAGCAGGCAUGAGGUGACACAGUGGCAUCAGUGCCCUCCCUGCCCUGAAUGGAUCUGCAGCUUGGUCUUUAUCCAACACUCACUUGUUCUGCAGAAGCCUUUUCAGAACACAAGAUGCACAAAACAGAAGUAGUACCUCUAGGACAAGCAGAAUGAUCCUUUGUGCUCUGAUAAGCACUGGAAAGGCUUCAGCUAGAGAGCUGCCUCUGCUUUUGGACACCACCUUCCAAACAGGAAUUAAAGGAGGGAGAAUUAUUUAAGGAGCAGCAGUAGUGACAAGAAACAAUGUGAAAUGUUUAAGCUUUAAUGUUAAGGAAGAUGAUAUAGAAGAGAUUUGAUAAUAUGUAAAUGACUCAUUCAUUUAAUCCCUCUUUCAUGGAAGGCAGUACCAGGAAUAAGUGAAGCAAGAAAGAUUUUGGCUAAUAAAUAGAAAAAAAAAAUCUAAAGAUAAGGAGAGGUAUAUACAUCUUCUCCCUAGAAGUGAGGUUGACAGCUGUCAGGAAUGACAGCAGUAUGGUUGAUCCUCUUGGGUACAAAAGAAUGAAUCAGACAACCUCAGGGAGCCUGGUUCUUGAGACUGCACUUGAAAUACCUGCAAACUGGGUGUCUUUGAAACAUGAUCCAAAUGCACAGAAAGGGCUCAAUAGCACUGCAAAGAACUUCAGGGAUUUGAUUUUGUAAUACUGUUAAGGAAGAGGAGCCAUGCCAAGAUAUGAGUUCCUUCCAUAUUUGAGAGAAAUACUGAAUAAAGAUUUAAAUUCUCAGUUAUUUGAGAUUGUUGAAAUUCUCAGACACUAUUUAUGAUGAAUCUUGAGACUAAACAGACAAAAGCCUCCAAAAGGGAUAAUAUUGGAUGAGCAGGACUGUCUCAAGUUCAUAGGAUUGGCAGGCCAGUGUUAAAAGAAAUCUUCAAGCUGGUAAAAAAAAAAAAAAAUAGAGAAGUCUGUAAUUUUCCAUUAUCACUUCUUCAGUAAUGUUUUCUCUAUUAAAAUAACAUCUGUUGAUUAAUUAAACACCUUAGCAUAAUAAUCAAUGCACAAAAGAAUAAACCUCCAAUAUUGAUUAAAGCUUGCUUUGAAAACCGCUUUGAGCUCUUUAAUCACAGUUUGUGGAGAGAUGGUAUUUUCUAGAACAAAACAGAGCAGCAUGGCAAGUGUGAAAGUGUGACAGAAGAAAGGUACACAAUAUGUAACUGUUUAGCUGGGGAUGUUGAAACAAAGCAUGUUCAGCAAUGGAAUAAUGUGACGGGUAAUUUACAGUGAUCUGAUGGAAGCUGACUGAAUGCCAAAUAACCUGGCUUAGUCACUUUUUUUUUUGUCUUGCAGAUACUUUGAGUAUCUUUUUUCAAAGCUGGCUGUAAUUGACACAUUAGAUUAGCUACUAGACCACCUGCAAGGAAUAAAAAGUGAUGAACGUUGAUGUUUAUGUUUGCUAGGGCCAUUCAGGAGCAAUGAGCUUGAUCCUUCCUCUACCAUCCAAGUACAGAAAAUUAUGAGCCUCCAUGUGGAUAACAGUGAGGGUGAUAGCUUUUGUACACUUUUCCUCUUUUGAGAACUAAUUCCCUAAAUAAUAUAUACAAAUUAAUACAUAUUUGGAUGAAAUGCAAAGACUUUGGAGGACAAGCUGGGAACAUUGCAGGCUCUGGUCACUGAAAGCCACAGAAAGGCUCUUGAUGACUUCCGUAGAUAAUGGAUUAGAAAUAAAUAUAUUUGGAUUUUUACUUCCCCCAACUGAGAAUCUUUAAGUAAUUAACACAUAAUGCCUUAGAUUGGUCAUGCCAGGUUAGUGCCUUUCAUGUUAAAGAAACCACUUCCUAGAAAAUCAAGUUGAUAACAUGGUAAACAAUUAAAAGUUACUUUGUUUUCCAUAUGUAUCCAAAUUUAUCUAAUUUUAUAAACCAAAUGAGGAAAGUCCUGUAUGCAAGACUAAAAAUACAACAGCCCCACAGCCUUUCAUAUGACUUUUUGCCUAUGUCCAGACUGUGACAAAUCACACCAGGAUUUGAUUCAGUAUAUCCAGAGAACUGGAAAGCAAAAUUGUUCCAUAUAAUUUAUAGUUUCGUUACUCACAUUUUUUAAAGGCAUAGCAGUUGCAAUUUGGAUUUAUUCUUCUAUGUUAUUAAUUUCAAGUCAAUUAUAAUGCAAGGAAGUUACACAGUCUGUUAAGUGUUGCUCUGAUGAGCUUGGGGCUGUUUUUCUGAGAAACAGGAAAUGAUGAAGUCUGUGGAACUGAAUGAUACCUUCCCAUGUAAAUAUGAUUCUGCAAGGCCACUGCCCCUUCCUAUGCUAUGAACCAAAAAAGCAACUUUUAUAGUUAUUAUCCCAACAUUCUACAUAUAUAUGACAGAACCUGCCAGCCAAAACCUGCAAACCUACAAUUAUCCAGUGCAGCAACUCCAAUUAUUUCUGUAAAUGUUUUUGUUUGGUACAAUCCUUCUGUUUCUGUCACCAAUACUCUGUUUUUACAGAUGAGCCACAUCCAGUUCUGUUUAUCUUCUGUCUUUUUACCUACAAUGCAUUAACUAGUUCCAGUGGCUUUCUUGAAAGCAUAAUGACUUUUCCUGCACUCUAGUGAAAAUAUAUCCCCACAAAUCAAGAAGAAGCAGGUUCAGACUAAGUGGUUGAGAAGAUUUACAUUCUAUUGCUAACUCAGUUAUUACUCUGCUGAAAACCCCAUAGCAUCAAUAUAAUGAAUCCCUCAACCUCUGCUGCUAGCACAAUUUUUCUUCCCAACCUCAUUGGCUCCCAACUUUCUGCUUGACCUUUUACAAUCUGUGUGUGGCAGAGCUUCAUUACAACCUUUUAAUGAUGCACAAAUGGCACACAACACCAAGGUCACAGCACAUCCCCAGUGAGAACUUCUCCAACACCUCCUGAGCAGGCAAAGAGUUUGCAUUUAAAGAGACAGUUCAACCAAAUUUACAAUUUAGCAUGAGUCUCAGCAGCUACUAAUACCCACCAGAAAUGCCAUAAAAGGAGUAUCUGCUCCCCAAAAAUGUUUUUCUUAAUAAAAGUCAAAAUCUCAAGCCAUCAGUGACCAAAUGAAUAAAAUGUGUUGCUGAAGAAACUCAGGAAAAUUACAGUGCUUUUCUGUAUAAAAAAAAUAUUUAAUUCUUAAAAAUAGAAAAAAAAGUAUACAGAAGGGAUAGAAACACUCAUCCAUCUAGAAUACCAGAAAUUUUUCUAAUGUCUCAGCAGUCAGGUUAUGCAUUCCACACCAAAUAAUCACCCACUUUUUGUUAACACAGUUCAAUCUCUGUUCUGCAAUUUUCCAACUGGGAUGCAGGGAUGCCAAUGUUUAGGCCUAUUUCAAAAGUAUUUCAGGGUUUUGUACUGAGAGUCCUAUAUAAAUUCAAAGCAUCUUGCUAUUCAAGCAUGUAGACUGUAAAGCACAUUAUUCAGUAUUGGUUAAUGCAAAGUCACUGCAUACAUGCAUAUAUUGCACCUCAGUUACUGCUCAAGCACAGAACAAUGUUUCAAGUGAAUAUUUAAUAUUACCUUCUAUGCUUUUGGUAUAUGGAGCAAUUAAUUCUCAAACCCAUAGAAUUCCAUCUAAAGUUACCUAUUAGGCAAUGGCAUGUUCCUUUACUUUUGGCACUUUGAUCUUCUCUUUCUAAUACAUAUAUAUGUAUAUAUAAUAAAUAUUUCCAUUCACUGUGUGCAGGUACCUGCAUGCAAAAGUACACUCAGUGCACUUGCCUUGCUCAGCUCUUUUCUCUUACAAUGGGGGAAAUUAGGAAUAACAAGCAAUUCAGUGCAGCCAGACAUUCACUGCGCAGCUAAUCUGUGAGGAGAUUCAGCACCAAACUAACCUGUAUCUCAUGACUGAAAUUACAAUGUUCAUGAAAUAACAGAACACUUCCAAUGAUGAGGAUCCACAGCUUCUCUGGACAACUUGUUCCACCACCAUCGUUGUAAAAAAUGUCUCCCUAAUGCCCAGUAUAAAUCUUGCCUCAUUCAGCUUAAAACCAUUGCCCCUUGUCCUGUCUGUACUUGGCAAAGUCUCUUUUCCAUGCUUCUUACAAGCUCCUGUAAUAUAUCAAAAGGCCACAAUAAGGUCUCCCUCUUGUCCAGGCAGAGCAAUUCCAGUUCUCUCAGCCUCUCUCCAUAGCAGAGGUGCUCCAGCCCUCAGAGCAUUUCCCUAUCCCUUGUCUGACCCCAUUUAAUGAGUGCACAUCUCUCUUGCACUGGGGGCCCCAGAGCUGGGUGCAGCACUGGAGGUGGGGUCUCACCAGAGCAGAGGGGCAGGAUCACCUCUCUCAACCUGAUGAUCAAUUAAUUGAAUUAAAUAGGUCACUUUCUACUCCCUGAAUUGCCACUGACACUUUUGACUUUCUCAUUCUACUUCCAUUUCCCCAUUUGUAAAAUUACAUGACAUGUUUUCCUCACCCAUAGAAAAGCAUAAUUUAAUGAUUGUUGAAGUCAUGAAGAUGUCUGAAAUCCUAGGACACACACAGCAAUCUAAAAAUGCCAUGCUUAUGAUUGUAGGUAUUUGUCUAUUAUUAAACAUCAAGAAAAAAACAAUCCCUGAUACUAGUACAGUUUUACUACUGGCAUACUGCCCUGGAUCUGAAACAGUGUGGAAAAAACCCAAAGCAACAAAAACCAUUGAUCUUGGACACUUGAACUCUGCUUCCUUUGGACAAAGACUGCCAGGGUCAAACUCUCUUUUCAUGACUUUCAAAGAAGUAACUACUAAAUUGUUCUGGAUUUACAAGAAGAUAAAUAAAAGCAGAUACUGGCUGUGAUCCUUUUAACAGCUUGUACAAAUACACAGAUUUGGUGCAAGAAUACAAUGUGAGUUUUACUGCCCUUGAAAGAGUCUUGAAAAGCAGCACAUCUAAUGCACUUAUAAAAUGACACCAAACAAAACCAAAUACACAAAACCAACCAAGCACUGUGGGUAAAACCAAAAAUCUGGUCUCUAAGUCUGGCCAGAGAAUCCCAAAGGCUCCUUUGUCACACUGCCCCAAAAUCCUCACCCAGCCUCCAGCAAUGCAUAGCUCAAACAUUGUGAGGCAGACUGAUGUUUACAAAUCAUAAAUGGAUCAGUAAUAAUUAAUUUUUCUUCUUACUUCCCUCUUUGGUCCUAUUUGGCUGGUUUGCUAUUUAUACCAGAGAAUUAAUUUGAAGUAGUAGGAGUCAAAUAUGCAUGUGAAAUAUAUUAUUUUUUAAAAGAAGGCAAGCUCAAUAUAAUGUCUGACAUAGCCACUAAUAAAAAAAUUCAAGUUCAAGGCUGGAUUUUGAUCUUGCAAUCCUGUAACUAGAGUUGCAUCUGCACAAGGUAAUACACGAUAUGGAGGCAGUAAGACAACCAGUAAAGGACAUAAUUCCUUCCAGAACUGGAAAAAAAAAAUCCCACAACUAACAAAAACCCUCCAACAGACUAAAAAAGUUCACUGUGAGUUACUUUGCAAAAUGUUCUACAAGUUUCUUGCUAGAAUGACUACUACAGCUAUGGCUUCUAAGGGAAAAAUCCAGGAUUUUAUUUUAGGGACUACAGCUAGACUUUCCAUAUGCCACUCAGACAGUAGGAGGUUCAUACACACUGUAUAAAGCAGCCAUAGGCAGAUGCCUCAAUCCACUUUUUGAAACUUUUCCUCUUCUUUUCCAUAUUUGGAAAAUUGUAUUUCACUUUCCUCACAUUUUUAAAAAUAUACUUAGUAGCCCCCAGCUGUGCAUCUCUAUCCAAGGUGGGAGUUGGAUGCAUUUCACAGGAUAUGUCUGGUCUGCAUCUGCAGAUCUUGAAACCAAACAGCUCGAAACUUCUGAGUUUUUUAAUAAUGGAAGUACCAGGAUUUGUCUUUUAAUUAAUUAGAUAGAAAUUGGUCUUCAAUUGCAAAUUUUGAAGGUUUUUUUUUUCUUUGUUAACAGCCUCUAAAUUACCAAAAGAUAAGACUCCACAUAAAUCAAUCCACAGUCCCAAUACUUUCAUUAGCAUGGCCAUGAAAUUAUAGCAGAAUGACAAAGAGACUGUAUGUAAUUAAGCAGGAGGAGAAUAGAAACAACUCAAAGUGUCAAUCAACAAAUAAUGAAGUGUAAUGUACAAAAACAGGAAACAGUAAGUGGGGUUUAAUGCAAUUGUUAUUAAAAAAACUUACACCAUCAAAACAUUCCCUUAAGGACCUAGCAUUUCUGAAGUAUAAUGGAAGUUCAUUUCUUAUUAAUUUUAUCAGUUUCACAUACAAAAGGACAAUAAAAAAUUGUCAUUUGAUGAAGCUGAGACUUCCCUAAGUUUACAGCAUAUUGCAGUUCACAAUGGUAAGGUUUUAAUACAUUAAUGUGCUGGGAGACGCUUUUUUGAUAGAGAAAAAAAGGGAGCAUCAAGUGAUAUAUAUUAAUAUAUACCCCUACAGAGAAUAUAAGGAUUUCAGUUUGGAAUUUGAUUACAGAAAAUUCGGGAAUAAAUAUUGUUAUUUCUUUUUUAAGAGUGGAGGAAGAUGUGCAGUAGCUUUGAGGAAAUGGAGAGGUUGGAGGCAGGACAGAGAAUGGAGAUUUAUUUGUGGUUGGGAAGUAAGGUCCAAACCUUCAUGGAAAACAAAGCUCAAAUUCAGUCUAAAGCAUGGAGAGCAAAUUGGAAACCUGCAUCUGCUGCACAUGAUAUCAGGAGGCAGCUGGAAAUGAAAGCCUGAGUCCAUCAGCGGCAAGACCCCCAAUGUGGUGCUGAUAAAGGAAUUCCAGACCCACUGACCACAACCAGGAGGCAAAUCCAGCCUCAUACACAGAAAACCCAGUGUGUGCUGAGCAGAGAGAGACCACCAGGCUUCUGCUAAGAAAAACACCUUACUGCUAGCAUUUAUAGUAUGAAAUAUAAAAAUUAAAAAUAUAAU